CGUAUGCUCAACUAGGACCUGAGAUAACCCGAAAAUAGUUCUCCAAAAUAUGUAUAUUAAUGAGCACUUAUGGAACUCUUUUACCAGUGAAAAUAAGAAUGUAAAUGUACUUUCUUUUUUCUGCUGCAGAGACGGAAACCGGGAAAGAGAGAAUGUCUUUUAAACACAAGAGUACAGAGAAGGGAAUUGGAAUCAGGAAAUGAACCUGCAGACAAGGAAGAGCAUUUUAAUACAGAACCCAGCAUACAAGACACAACUGAAAAAGAUGUAAAGGUAUUCUGUAUAUUUCCAUUACUGAACGGUGACUUGAGGUCCUCGCGUCAGCUUGUGAUUGGGUGACCUCUGGGCCCCUUAAGCCUCUACAUGAUUGUUUUCUAAAGAGAAAGCUAGCGAAGGUUUGUGUCCCAAAAGGAGAACUGAAAAAGAGAAAACCCAGUGUAGAAGACUCAACUACGCUACGUCCUUGGAAAUUGUCCUUAACCCAUUACCUCCUUGAGUAUAUGCUGGACAAUUGCAAUUUAUGUUGGCAAUAUCAACAUCAUACAGCUUUUCAGGACUGCUUUGAGAAGGAACUCUACAUUGUGUCCUUGCGACCCAUUGUAUGCUUUUGCCCAUUCCUGCCCUCAACAUGUUCUCAGCUACUAAUUCCCUCUUUGAUUCUUUAAAGCUCUUACGUUUGUAAGCCUCCCACACUUUGCAAGUUCGGCCAUAUAGCUAUAAUGUUAGGAAAUGGUAAGUUAAAGGACAUGACAAUAAAACGAUUAAGACUUCCAGAGAAAAGCCUUAAUUGGAAGCAGAUUUAAUAUGCUCCCAACCUCAUUUUGCAGAACAUAAGUAUAUGAAUAUUUAUAUUUUCCUAUUUCUCUCUUCAGGCGAAUAAAUCAACCUGUGGGCAUCCCCUGAUGCAAUCCAGUUUUAUGAUAGGCAUGCAUAUUGAUUUGGAUGAUUUUUUAACAGAUGGUUGCAUUCCAAACUAUUUUAUGCUUGGAAACAAUAUGUUUAUACUCUGUUUCUUAUUUUUUCCUUUCUUCCCCGAAUUUUUUUGGUCCGCAAUUGUUCUAACAGAACUGCUCAUCCAAUUGAGAUGAAACCGUUUUAGGGUUAUUAGGCAUUUUGUGUAGAUGUGCAGAACGAAAGUCAUUUUUUACUCACAUGCAUGCAUGUGUUUGAGCAUGUGCGAUGAUUGAAAUCACUGAUAUAAUUGAAAUAGUUUUAACUUUCCCAUUUUUUGGGGAAAAAAAAUGCUUUGAAAUGCAGAAUAUUGACAUACAUUAGUAGUGGAAACAAGAUUAUGUGGUUGAAUUAGCAAGAAAGCCCGGAUUCACUUGCGCUUCAUUCUGGUUGGCUGACACAAAAAUCUUUCUUUUUCUUCUUAAAAAAAAUGCUUUGAAAUUUAAAAUAUAGGCAUAUAUCAUGAGAUUCUACAAUUUGAAAUACAGGAAAUUUCUUUGAAACAGCAACUUUGAUUGCAAAAUUGCUAUUAUGUGUUCCCACAGUAUGAUACUAUCAAAACUUAAAAGAAGAACAUGUAUGCACAUAUGCUGAAUUCUGAUUGGCUAAUACUUAAAGGGAUGUAGGCUUAUACUAAAUGGAUGUAUCUCACACAGCUUAUUUCUCAAUGUAAAUCUUUGAGACUUAACACAUAGAAAUUUAUAGUGGGUCUCUUUAAGAAGAUUUAAAUGAGAAAUCUAGAAAUAUGUGCUUGCAUAUGCACUGAAAUUUGAUUGGUUAAUACUUAUACCGAUGUUACUUUUCGAUAAAUACUUUGGGGAAAAUGUAGAUAUAUUUACAAAUGAAAUCAUUGAAGAUGGUAUGAAAUGGGGUAACACAGAGGAGCUGUAUUGGAACAUCUGCGAGGAAUACCGUUACAAUUAGCACUACUUAUUACCGUAUCAUUAUUAUUAUUCUUAAUCAUGUAUAUUAUAAUUUUUUCUCUUAAUAUUGAUUAUCAAGGAAAACGAUUUUUGAUCAGUAUUAUAUGAAAUGGUGCAUUUAAAAAUGCACAACGAUUUGACAACUGUGAAAGGUAAUGUGGAAAACCAUGUUUUAAAAUGAUUUCAUAUUCCUCAUUAAAGUAUUUAUAAACAUA